UGGAGGACACUAUUGUUGAAAGCAAAUCAGAAAAAAGCGAGACUGGAAUUUGCGAAAAUUCAUAUUGACAAGCCACAAAGCUUCUGGGAGAAUGUCCUUUAGACAGAUGAGACAAAACUGGAGCUUUUUGGCAAGUCAUAUCAGCCCUAUGUUCACAGAUGCAAAAAUGAAGCAUACAAA